rnacentral:rRNA from 1 species
UACGAAGGGGGCGAGCGUUGUUCGGAUUUACUGGGCGUAAAGGGCGCGCAGGCGGCUCAUUUUGUCAGGCGUGAAAGCCCCGGGCUUAACCUGGGAACUGCGUUUGAUACGGAUGGGCUAGAGUUCGGGAGAGGAGAGUGGAAUUCCCAGUGUAGAGGUGAAAUUCGUAGAUAUUGGGAAGAACACCGGUGGCGAAGGCGGCUCUCUGGACCGAGACUGACGCUGAGGCGCGAAAGCGUGGGGGGCAAACAGG